AGCUGUAGGAAAGCGGGCUUCUUCUGUUUCCUAAGACCCAGACGCUGACCUCUUGGUGGAGCCUCAGGAAGUCAGGUUCUCUUCCUUCAAGGAGAGAUUGGAAGCCCACACUCUAGGAAAGUCACACAGCGGUGGAAGAAUCUUGUAGAUAAAGAACAAUAACAGAAAUCACUGCACAGGAGGACUGGAAGGAAAUAAGACAAAAUGCUGCCUUUAGAUGGUAAGA